UUGAGCAAAGUUUCAGGCGAAU
rnacentral:miRNA from 1 species